AUGGCCUCCACCGUAGCGCCCUUGAACGCCGACGUCGACCUGCCGACGAACGUGACGGCGCAGACCCACAAUGCGACGGCGUCCAAGAUCACCAACAUGGUGGUGUGCUACUCGCCCAUGAUGAUCACCACCAACGGCAUCUGGCAGGGCGUCAACCCGCUCGAGUUCUCCCUCCCGCUCUUCAUCCUCCAGGUCGCCGUCAUCGUCAUCACCACCCGCGUCCUCGUGCUCCUCCUCAAGCCCUUCCGCCAGCCCCGCGUCAUCGCUGAGAUCCUCGCCGGCGUCGUGCUCGGGCCGUCCCUCAUGGGCCAGAUGGAUGGCUGGGGCAACAUGGUGUUCCCGCAGCGCAGCCUGCUCACGCUCGAGACGGUGGCGCACCUCGGCCUGCUCUACUUCCUCUUCCUCGUCGGGCUGGAGAUGGACAUCGACGUGAUCAAGCGGUCCGGCAAGAAGGCGCUGUUCGUGGCUUUGGCCGGGAUGGCGCUGCCCUUCUGCAUCGGCACCGCCACGUCCUUCAUAUUCCGGCACCAGGUGUCCCGGAACGUGCACCAGACCUCCUUCCUGCUCUUCCUCGGCGUCGCGCUCUCCGUCACGGCGUUCCCCGUGCUGGCCCGCAUCCUCGCCGAGAUCAAGCUGCUCAACACGGAGCUCGGCCGCAUCGCCAUGUCGGCCGCCAUCGUCAACGACAUGUGCGCGUGGAUCCUGCUCGCGCUCGCCAUCGCCAUCACGGAGGUGGACAGCACGGCGCUGUCGUCCCUGUGGGUGCUCCUCUCCGGGGUGGUCUUCGUGCUCAUAUGCUUCUACGUCGUGCGCCCAGCGAUGUGGUGGCUCAUCCACCGCAUCCCCGAGGGCGAGAGCAUCAGCGACAUGGAUGUGUCGCUCAUCCUUGCCGGCGUCCUGCUCGCCGGUGUCUGUACCGAGGCCAUCGGCAUCCACUCCGUCUUCGGCGCCUUCAUCUACGGCCUGGUCAUCCCGAGCGGCCCGCUCGGCGUCACGCUCAUCGAGAAGCUCGAGGACUUUGUCACCGGGCUCCUCCUCCCGCUCUUCUUCGCCAUCAGCGGCCUGCGCACAAACAUCACCAAGGCGCGCGACCCUGUGACCGUCGGCCUGCUCGUCCUCGUGUUCGUCAUGGCCAGCUUCGCCAAGAUCAUGGGCACCAUCAUCAUCGCGGCGCUCUACACGAUGCCGUUCCGUGAGGGCAUUGCCCUCGGAUUCCUCAUGAACACCAGGGGGCUCGUGGAAAUGAUCGUGCUCAACAUUGGGAGAGACAGGCAGGUGUUGGAUGACGAGUCGUUCGCGGUGAUGGUGAUGGUGUCGGUGGGGAUGACGGCUCUGGUGACGCCGAUCGUGACGGGGUUGCACAAGCCGGCGCGGCGGCUCGUCGGAUACAAGCGGAGGAACCUGCAGCGCAUCAGGCACGACAGCGAGCUCCGGAUGCUGGCCUGCGUGCACACCACCCGUAACGUGCCGUCCGUGCUGUCGCUGCUCGACCUCUCGAACCCGAGCAAGCGCUCCCCCAUCUUCAUCUACGCGCUCCACCUCGUCGAGCUCACCGGCCGAGCCUCCAACAUGCUUGCUGCCGCCGCCGCCUCCGCCUCGACGAAUAGCCAGUCAGGCUCCUCUGCCUUGCCGGCUACGACGGAGCACAUCUUCAACGCAUUCGAGAACUACGAGAUGCACACUGGUGGUGUCUCCAUCCAGACGCUGGCGGCCGUGUCGCCGUACCAAACCAUGCACGACGACGUGUCCGUGCUCGCGGAGGACAAGCACGUCUCGCUCAUCGUCGUCCCUUUCCACAAGCAGCUGACGGUGGACGGCGGCAUGGAGCCCAUCAACCCGUCCAUCCGCGGGUUCAACGAGAGCCUCCUGUCCGCGUCCCCGUGCUCGGUCGCCAUCCUCGUGGACCGCGGCCUCAGCGCCGCCGCAGCGCGCAUGGCGGACGAGCACCGCCUGGUGCUCUUCUUCUUCGGCGGGCCGGACGACCGCGAGGCGCUCGCCUACACGUGGAGGAUGGUGGAGAACCCCGCCGUCAGCCUCGCCAUCGUGCGGUUCCUCCCGCCGGACUACCGGGAGCGAUCCUUCUCCAGCCCCACCUACCGGUCGGCGGACUCGCGCGCGAUCAACAUCGGCGCGGAGGGCAAGACCGAGCUGGAGAUGGACGAGGAGUACCUGGGCGAGUUCCGAGCGCGCAACCACGGCAACGGCGCCAUCACGUACGCCGACAAGACGGUGACCAACAGCGAGGAGACGGUGGCGGCCAUCCGGAGCAUGGACAGCAGCACGCACGAGAUGUACAUCGUGGGCCGGCGCCCCGGCGAGGCCGGGUCGCCGAUGACGUCGGCGCUGGAGGACUGGAUGGAGUCCCCGGAGCUGGGGCCCAUCGGCGACAUGCUCGUGUCGUCGGACUUCUCCAUGGGGGUGUCGGUGCUGGUGGUGCAGCAGUACGUGGUGGCCGGGGCGCCUAUGGCCGCCGGGGCGCCCAUGGCCGCGGCGGCGCCGGCCGCCAGCGUCGACCCGGUACGCCAGUACCUGAGCAACGCUAACGUGCACCCGGCCACGGGGCCCGGGGGGUACCAGACGGUCCCGGCGUCGUCGGCGGCCAAUAGCUGGUCUAGUGGCGCCGUAGGAUUCUGA
rnacentral:rRNA from 1 species